CCGACCCGAACCCUUCUUCCUCUCUUCCCCGACGCGAACCCCCUUUCUUCCUCUCCUUCUCUGAUUUCUCCUUUGCUCGAAGUCGAACCCUUGGUUUCUCUCGCCUUCAUUGCCAAUCCUGAGGAGCUCAUCGCCAGAUCUCGACGGAAACCAGCGAGCUCUAGGUCUUCAUCGGCUGAGGAGUCUCUGUUCAACGGAUCCGGCGGCCGAUCAUCGGCAAUAUAGUGUUUAGGGCUUCAAGGAUCUUGGAUCCAAUCCUCGUUCUUGUUGAUUUGGGGACAGAAGGAUCCCUGGUACGUUGCUUCACGGAUUGGAUAGGGCGACGUUUUCUAGAGACAACCAAUUGAAGGGAGGGGAGGUUCUGUGAAGGUGAUCUUGGAUCCCUUCUGUGUUGCUGCUGAUUGAGGUCUCGGUUGAAUUGGGGAAGAACUCCAGCAGAGGUUGCUGUGGGUUUUCUGAUCCAGCAAGGUGAGGAUCUGUUUUGGUUCUUGCUGUGGUGUCUUUGGUUUCGGCAGGCACCUCAUCCAGCCAGCUCAGUUUGGUUCGACAAUCACCCAUACCUCAGUGUUCUUUGUUACAGCACCUUGUUCAGCUGGGAAUUGAGGUAUGUGUAGGGAUUUUGAUACAUGUGUAGUUUUGAUUUAGGGUUAGGUUUGAAAUGAAUUUUGGUUGGAACAUGUUAUAGAUCAUGUUUCGAAUUUGGAUAUUUGUUAGAU